GAACUCUGACCUAUGAAUCAUUCAAGCAUUAAAAAGGCGCCUAACUCAAGUAAUGAACCUGUGUUGUGUCUACAAAGACAACUUAGCAAAGAACGAAUUUAUGAUUAUAUCUUUAGGCACUUUGCUACUAGCAGCCUGUUGCAAAAACACAUCAUUUUUUUUCAAUUUCUUAAGUUAGUUUUUAGAAUAAAAUUGUGUUUUUGUUGCAACAAAGUGAUUCCAAAGAGCUAUUAGCUGAAAACUUUGCAUAUCUCAGCAUGGUGUGCAGUCUCUCCUUAAAAAAGGGAAAAAAGAGGAAACUGGAGGACAAAAGAAGAAGUGUCAGACCUAAAAAUUAAUCUACAGCAGAUAAACAGUAUCUAAAAGUCAUGUUCUUAAGAAACAAACAAAAAAAAGAAAACCCAGUGAAGACCUGGUUCAUUGAAGCCUCAUCAGAAAUGGCGGAAAUAAUCUCAGUGGAAGGGUGACUAUCAAGAAGUCAUUGUUAAAGAAGAGAAAUGGAGAAAAUGCUGAGGUAUACCACAUUGCACAAGAACUGGACUGAAAAUCAGUGGCAACAGGUUUCAAGGAAUAAUGAAUCCAGAAUUGUGGUUCAUAUGAUCAUCAACAGGUACAGAGGAGGUCAGGAGAAAGAUAUGACACGUUUCAAAGCAAUCUGUAGAACGUGGUGGAUGCUGUGUAAUGUUAUGGGGCUACAAAACACACUGUCAGUGCAGUGAAAGCAAACAGUGGAACAUUAUCGGUCAUGGACUGGCCUCCCCACAGCUCACACCUCAACGUUACUGAAGCAGCAUGUUGAAGGAGAACAGAACAAAAGGCAGAAACAUCCAAAGAAGAGCUUCGAAUGUCCUUCAAGAAGCCUGGAGAACUAUUCCUGAAGACUGCUUAAAGACAUGACAAGACAGCUGCUUAAGAGAGUUCAGACUAUGAUGAAGAAUAAAGGUGGUCAUACUAAAUAUUCACUUUCAAGCUCAUUAGAAUUGUACAAACUCUGUUUUUACCUUAUAUACUGUAUUUCUAUCUGUGUUUGCACAUAUUUUAAUAAAUUGCUACACAUAUUUCCCAGUUUCUUAGCAAAAUAGGUAAUUAAUGGUACUGUAUAUGAACUUAAGGCUAAUUCUGAAAAUGAUCAAACACCAUACCAAUAAUGUAAAAGUCCCACAGUCAUCAUUUGCUUCCCCUCACUUGUGAGCAGUGCUGGUAUUUUGAAGCUGUAAGGCCCAAAGCAGCCAAUGGUGUCUUGAGUUUAAGCCCACAUGCUUAACUAAGUGCAGCAGUUCUGCCUUUACCCUCAUGGACAAGAUCCAGUAAAGCAGAGAAUUUCCCGUAAAAAAAUAAAAUUAAAAUAAAAAAUCCAACCUUCUGUGUAAAUCCUUGCGAAGACGUGCUGUUCGAUGGACUGUGAGCCUUUUAAAGUAGCUAUGUCUGAGAGAGGGAUUACAGAGCUCACUUUUAUGAGGACGUUUACUACUCAGUAAGAUGAUACAGAUGCAGUUUCCCUUUGAGCUUCCUCAUUUAAUUUGCUUAUACUGCUUUCAUUUUCUGCUUUGUUGAUCUUAAAAACAGGAGUGAUGGAUACGAU
ensembl:lncRNA